rnacentral:ncRNA from 1 species
CAUGCGUGUUCAGGCAGAAGCUGAAUAAAGGCCAAGCCGCAAACUGCUAAUUACAUCAAUCGUAUAGAAUUAAAUUCUUCUGGAUAACUGUCGUCGUUUUAAAUCUAAUAUGCGCAUCAUUUUUUCGACGCAGCACAGCUGUUAGAACCAAGAUGAGCAGACGACCUUCGUAAGAGCUGUUAUUUACGAAUCUGAACGAUGUUGUAGGUCAUCAAAUGGUCACGUGCCGGCGGCAUGCCUUAUAAAUGUCUGCCUGAUCAACUCUGCUUGGUAAGACCUACUAAUACCAUUGUGAUAGCCGGUAACGAAGGGGGGGUACAACUCAAGAGAAGGAGCCUGAGAAUCGGUUGCCACGUACAUAAGACAACAG